rnacentral:rRNA from 1 species
UAGGGAAUUUUCGUCAAUGGGGGGAACCCUGAACGAGCAAUGCCGCGUGUGUGAAGAAGGUCUUCGGAUCGUAAAGCACUGUUGUAAGUGAAGAAUGCCAUAUAGAGGAAAUGCUAUGUGGGUGACGGUAGCUUACCAGAAAGCCACGGCUAACUACGUGCCAGCAGCCGCGGUAAUACGUAGGUGGCAAGCGUUAUCCGGAAUCAUUGGGCGUAAAGGGUGCGUAGGUGGCACGAUAAGUCUGAAGUAAAAGGCAACAGCUCAACUGUUGUAUGCUUUGGAAACUGUCGAGCUAGAGUGCAGAAGAGGGCGAUGGAAUUCCAUGUGUAGCGGUAAAAUGCGUAGAUAUAUGGAGGAACACCAGUGGCGAAGGCGGUCGCCUGGUCUGUAACUGACGCUCAGGCACGAAAGCGUGGGGAGCAAAUAGGAUUAGAUACC